CCUACGGGUGGCAGCAGUGAGGAAUAUUGGUCAAUGGACGAGAGUCUGAACCAGCCACGUAGCGUGAAGGAUGACUGCCCUAUGGUUUGUAACCUUCUUUUAUAAAGGUAUAAAACGAGGCUCGUGUUCCUUUUUGCAUGUACUUUAUGAAUAAGGCUCGGCUAAAUGCGUGCCAGCAGCCGCGGUAAUACGGAGGGUCCGAGCGUUAUCCGGAUUUAUUGGGUUUAAAGGGUGUGUAGGUGGGUUGUUAAGUCAGUUGUGAAAGUUUGCGGCUCAAUUGUAGAAGUGCAAUUGAUACUGGCAGUCUUGAGUGCAGUUGGGGUGAGCGGAACUCGUGGUGUAGCGGUGAAAUGCGCAGAUAUCACGAAGAACCCCGGUGGCGAAGGCAGCUUACUGAGCUGUGACUGACGUUGAGGAUCGAAAGUGUGGGUAGCGAACAGGAUUAGAUACCCUGGUAGUC
rnacentral:rRNA from 1 species